CGAUGACCUAAAAUACCGACAGCAGUUGAGGAGAUCCCUUGGCAUAAAUGCACCAGCUAGUACGUGGGGCAAACAUUCUAACCAAUCAGAGUUUAAGAAAACUUCCAACCAAUCAGCAUCGAAAAGAUAUUCGGAUCAAUCAGCUUGGAAGAAAUAUUCUAACCAAUCAAAAGCACCGAACAUUGCUGGAUCAAUCGGUUCUAUUAGUUCAAAAACCGAUUAUCCAAUGUUUACAUCGAGAAGCAAUUACAGCGGAGAUGCAGCUUUUUAUAAAGACGGUCACGAGUUUCGCAAUGGCGAUUCGAAAAAGGCACUCAAAGAUGGAGAUUUUGAUCUCGAUGAGAUUUUCUCUGCGGCAGAGCAGAGAACUAGAAGAAGUAACGCACAUCAUAUUCUGACCUCAGAGAGCAGUCAACAGUAUGCUUCAAAACCAACCAGAGCGAAACUUCUUCAGACAUUUCCUUUUGUCACCGAUGCACAUCAAAUAACAGAUCCUUACCUUUACCCAUGUGAAAUAGUACACGCCAAGACGAGGACUAAAGCGAAUGCCAUCUUGGAGAAAAUUGCUAACUAUGAACAGAACUCCCAUUCUUAAUCGAUAGCAAAAACGUUAACUUCAUUGUAAAUUAUGUUGAUACUUAAAUUCAUUUGAAAACAUAAUUCUGAUCUGAUCAUUUCGGUUUAAUGUUCGAAAAGCUCGACGAAACGUUCAAAAAUUUUAUAAAGUCCUCACAUCGAUAGACCCACCCAUCCUGAAGUAAGAUGUUCCUUGUCUUAGUUUAAAAGAUCAACUACAAAAAUGGAUUAGAUUGUCACAAAAUUAGACAACAGAAUAUUUUAUACUAAUAAAUCUAGAUGUACAAAGUACACAUGAUGAAAUGCGGUUAGUUUGUAAGUUAUCACUUCCAUUGCUGAUGCAAAAAGAUGAAUUAAAAUUUGCACUUUUCAA